GACGAACGCUGGCGGCGCGCUUAACACAUGCAAGUCGAGCGAGAACCAGGCCUUCGGGCCUGGGGAAAGCGGCGAACGGGUGAGUAACACGUGGGUAACCCACCCUUGGUACUGGGAUAGCCCGGGGAAACCCGGAUUAAUACCGGAUGGCCCAACAACUCUUCGGGGUGGUUGGAAAAGGUAGCUUCGGCCUCCGACCAAGGACGGGCCCGCGGCGGAUUAGCUUGUUGGUGGGGUAACGGCCUACCAAGGCGACGAUCCGUAGCUGGUCNGAGAGGACGAUCAGCCACACUGGGACUGAGACACGGCCCAGACUCCUACGGGAGGCAGCAGUGGGGAAUCUUGCGCAAUGGGCGAAAGCCUGACGCAGCGACGCCGCGUGGGGGAAGAAGGCUUU
rnacentral:rRNA from 1 species